UAUAUUCGCUUCUAAAUUCGGCAGUUUUGUUGAUCUUUCUCGACUUGUAAUUUCGUUUCGUUUAGGUUAUGUCUUAUAAAAAUAAAUAUUUAUAAGCUUUUGAAUUGAAAUAUACCUUAAUGCAUAUCUGAGUAAUUAAAAAAUUCAGUUUUUUCUGUCCCUCGCGAAGAAACAUAAACAGUAUUUGUGAAAUUUGGAUUAGAAACUAUUAUUUUAUUAGUUUAUUUUGUUGUGUUUAAGUGUUGUGUAUUUGUACCUACUGGAUAAUAUUUUCCAACAUAUUUAAUUAAGCAAAAAGCAUCUGUUUUACAGGUGUGACUGCUAAGUGGUCGUACUCGCCACUUUAACCAAGCAUUGGUGGGACCUUCAGAGAUCAUAAUGCGAAUUUCUUCAUACCAUGUAAAUCUAUAUACAUGUAUUAAUAAAUGCGUUUGCUUUA
rnacentral:lncRNA from 1 species